rnacentral:rRNA from 1 species
UACAGAGGUCUCAAGCGUUGUUCGGAUUCAUUGGGCGUAAAGGGCGCGUAGGCGGCGGGGUAAGUCGGGUGUGAAAUCUCAGAGCUCAACUCUGAAAUGGCACUUGAUACUGCUCUACUAGAGGACUGGAGAGGAGAUUGGAAUUCACGGUGUAGCAGUGAAAUGCGUAGAUAUCGUGAGGAAGACCGGUGGCGAAGGCGGAUCUCUGGGACGGUACUGACGCUGAGACGCGAAAGCGUGGGGAGCGAACAGG